AUGCAUCGUCGCCAUGCCUAUAUCGGUCCUACGAAGGCUUCACUCGUUGCUCCCGUGUGCUGGUCAGGAGUCGCCUCCGGACGAGUCGCGGUUCGAUGCGUGAUGCCGUGUCGUAGUGAACCUGAUGGCGUGUGAGUGGUGUUUGGGUCGCGUGGGUCGGCAGGCUCCUUGCUCGUGCAACGAACUGUCGCCGCACCGCCCUCUUCAUUCUAAGCCUCAAGCGCUGCAACAAGCCUUGGGCGUCGCGAUGCCGUGGUUCCUGUGUUGCCUUCCUAACGGAUGGAAUUGUCCCUCGAACGUUGCCUAUCUCCGCCCGGCUCCCGCUCACGCGGUGCGGGCGGACCUCGAAAGCGGUCGCCGCGUCCCAUGGUCGCCCCACGCAUGCGCACGCAUGAGAGGGGUCGAGCAUGGCCCGCGACGGCCGCUCGUGCUCUCGGAUGCGGAACCUUAAAACGAGCGUGGGGUCUCUCGGGAUCCCGUACUCGCUCGAGCUAAGCGUUCGUCGCUAGACGCGUACGACGGCCGUCCCCGUCUUUGCCCUCCCGUCCCGCUCCCCUCGGGGGGCGUCGGUCAGGCGCAUGCGGUGCCGGCGUCGCACAGGAAUGC
rnacentral:misc_RNA from 1 species